rnacentral:tRNA from 1 species
GUUUUUAUAGUUUAAUUCAAAAUAUCGAUCUUGUAAAUCGAAAAUAACUUAAUUGUUUAAAAACA